rnacentral:rRNA from 1 species
GAUGAACGCUGGCGGCGUGCCUAAUACAUGCAAGUCGAGCGAACGGACGCGACGCUUGCUUCUCUGAUGUUAGCGGCGGACGGGUGAGUAACACGUGGAUAACCUACCUAUCAGACUGGGAUCACUUCGGGAAACCGGCGCUAAUACCGGAUAAUAUUUUGAACCGCAUGGUUCAAAAGUGAAAGACGGUCUUGCUGUCACUUAUAGAUGGAUCCGCGCUGCAUUAGCUAGUUGGUAAGGUAACGGCUUACCAAGGCAACGAUGCAUAGCCGACGUGAGAGGGUGAUCGGCCACACUGGAACUUAGACACGGUCCAGAGUCCUACGGGAGGGAGCAGUAGCGAAUCUGCCGCAAUGGGCGAAAGCAUGACGGAGCAACGCCGCGUGAGUGAUGAAGGUCUUCGGAUCGUAAAACUCUGUUAUUAGGGAAGAACAUAUGUGUAAGUAACUGUGCACAUCUUGACGGUACCUAAUCAGAAAGCCACGGCUAACUACGUG